rnacentral:rRNA from 1 species
AUGGCAUCGGCGACGACGGCGGCGGCGGAGUGGGAGGCCGCGGCGCGGAAGACGCUGGUGGCGCGGAAGCCCGGCUUCGGGCUCCCCACCGCCUGCCCGACCUGCCUCCCCGUCCUCCUCUACCUCCGCAUGUCCCAGGUCCCCUUCGACAUCCACGUCGACUCCCGCUUCCCCGACGCCGAUCACAUACCAUAUAUUGAAUUUGGCGAGUGUGUCACAUUCAACAAUGAGAAUGGAGGAGUAAUUGAGUAUCUCAGGGAGGAGAAAAUUGUUGACUUGACCUCAAAACACCCAAGCGUUUCUUACUCUGAUGUACUAUCCACAAAGGCCAUGAUUUCGACCUGGCUUGCUGAUGCUCUGCAAUACGAACUUUGGUUGGCAAAUGAUGGGGCUCAUGGGAGCAUUGCACGAGACAUCUACUUUUCUGAUCUCCCCUGGCCUAUUGGAAAGGUACUCCACUGGAAGAAAAUUAGAGAUGUGAAGCGACUAAUGGAUAUAACAAAGCUUAAUGCUGCAGAAAAAGAAGAGGAGAUAUACCGGAAGGCUACUGCUGCUUAUGAUGCUUUAUCUACGAAAUUAGGGGAUCAAUCCUUUCUUUUCGACGAUAGCCCUACAGAUGCUGAUGCUCUUUUGCUUGGACAUGUUCUUUUUGUCCUUAAUGCAUUACCUGCUACAUCUAUGCUGCGAAGCUAUUUGCAGAACUAUGACAACUUGGUAAAGUAUGCCGAGGAUAUCAAGGUCCAAUUGGUGGAAGUUGGCUCAUCAUCAGCAGGAUCAGCUUCAUCUGAUAUGCCAUCAUCAUCCACGCCCAGGAAAACAUCAUCUUCUGGACAAAGUUACAAGCCGAAACCCAAAGCUAAGAAGGAGCGGACAGAGGAGGAGAAGAAAGCUAGGCGAAGAACAAAGUACUUCCUCGCGGCGCAACUCAUCUCGGUUCUCGCCUUCCUGUCCAUCAUGGGUGGGGUCGAUGGUUCCGAGCUAGACGAUGACUACGAUAUGGAAUACGAAGAUUAA